ACCUGAGCUGAAGGCAGAGGCUUAACCCACUGAGCCACCCAGGCACCGGGUCUUGAGGUUUUGUUUGAGAAAUCAGGUGAAGACACAGGAGAGGAACCAGACUGAGGUGACUAAAGGGAGAUGGAGAGGGAUUCCUGGUGCCUCAGUCAGUUAAGUGUCCAACUCUUGAUUUCAGCUCAGGGCAUGGUCUCAUGGUCCUGGGAUCGAGCCCCGAGUCAGGCUCCGCACUCGGCUCUGGUACGGCAGUUCUCAACCUGUGUUUGUCAUCUUCUGUCAGAACUCCAGAGACAGAUCCCACGCAAAGAGCACUCUGAACAAACAAAAGCUCUCAAAAUAUUGCAGGGAAGCGGAGCCCUGAGAAACGGAACCAGGGGAGGAAGCGAUGCUGUUAUGUAUAUUGUUUUUACACUGAUUAUCCUGGACCGUGUGACGGAGGAAUUUUCCAGUGUGUGAUUUGGAAACAGCUGAACUGUUUCUGAGAAUCUCACAGAAAAGUUUACUUGAAAGCUUUGUGAUUAAUAAGGUAGAACUAUUUCUCUUAAAGCAGAGCUGCGGAUUAUUUUUUUCUGAGGGUUAAGAGAACAUCGUAACCAGGGAUUUCAUUGUCUCUGUACUGGAACAAAUGCUUUUUUCAGAUCUGGACACAGUAUGAAAAAUAAGACUCUUUGCAAGGUGCUUGGGAAAGUUCUGAGUAGCUCCCAAGUGGGGAGGCCUUUGUUCCGGGGUUAAUCAGAGGGACACUGGGAACAUCAUUCACUGCUGGUACAGGUCAGAGAGAAAAGUUCACAUCUGGGUGUUACUAACCACCAAGCCCUUUCUUGCGGUGUUUUCAGAAGUGAUAUAUCGUCAAACAUCCCCAGAGCACAAACCUUUAGUGCAGAUUUAUCGGGGGAAAAGGCUCCUUGUCCAUAUGAUAAAGUUAUAUAUUUAUUUACUUUGAAACUCAGGUAGGUAACAGUGAAGGAAUUUGCGACUGUUAUUUGAACAAAUAUGUCAGCAAGCAAAACUUGCUAGGGUGUUGAAAUUCGCACGUAACGCAAUGCCGGGCAUAUAGUUUGCUGAUUGCCAGGUUGAGUAAAGGAGCUUAUGUAGAUUUUUCCCGAGUCGAUUGGGCCAGCAGGCACGGAAUGGUUAGAUACAGUUUUUGCUUUGUAACUGUUUGCUAAACUGUGCAGACAAGUCUUUUGCUUUGCUAUUUGCAUGCUGCAUUUCGGGAUAAAAAUGUUUUUAAACAUUUUAGGAAAAAAAUGUGAUGGAGUGAAUACCAUACAAGGACUUUGUUUCCUUUAGAGGUUUCUGGGUAAUAUGCUUAAAUUUCCUUUGUCAAGUUUGAAGCAUAAACAUUAGAGUGUUUGCUUGUCAACACACGGAAUUCGGGAAUUAAUUUAUAUUUAGAAAAGCCCUUUGCAAUUUUGAACAUUUUAGGGAACAAGGUUUCCAAGUGUAUCUUGCUAACAGCCAGGAACAGCUGCAUUUUUGCAUAGUUUUUCAGAUGGCUUCUCUGUGACAUCUGUGAAAACAGACAGCUCCAGUCACUAAGCAUGCUGGGAUUGCACAGCACAUUUGAGGGCCUGAGUCGCCUGUCGCCGAACAGGCUGCCGGUUUGUACCAAAAAAUGUACUUCACUUGCACCUGAAUUCUAAGUUGACAUUAGAAAAAUGGGAAGGAUGGAAACUUCUGGCAAAAAGCAUAGAAUGCGUCACUUUGUUGUUUAUACAUGCUUAAAUAAGAGAAUAACGAGGUGAUUCCUUAUCAGUAGAUUGAACUGGGGACACGGGUUAGCACAUCAGUGAGAAAUGGUUCUGGCUUACCCAGCGGCCUUGUCUCUAGCGUUAUUAGUCAGGAAUGAGAGUUCAGAGUGGGUGCUGUUCACGCCAGCACAGAACAGGAUUGAGGGUGUUUGGGUGGGAUUGGUGCGGGGGCGGGGAGGUUGAUGGUUGGAGCGGGGACACCUGCCCACAAAGCAUUUUGUGGAUUUCUUUCACUUGGGUAGGUUUCUCCUGCCCCUGCCCCCAACCCCAGUCCUUUGUGUUUGCGAUUUACAGGAAAAGACAAGAUCAGUCUUUUGAAGUAAAUCAGCUAGUUAAUAACAGGUGACCACAGGGCCCUUUCCAAGAUUAUAGAUGAGUUCCGAAGAUUCAGCGUGGCGAAGGAGCUUUCUUUUACUCUUGGACGGACCCUCUUAGUUUUUACUCAUGAAAAGCCUUCGCUGGGGAGACCCGGGGACUGAUCUCCACCCCCACCCCCAGUGCUUCCAAUUAGGGAUCUAUUAUCUCACUGCAGAUAAUUGGAAAAGGAUAUUCAAAAUACAACUUCGCGUAAAUACGGUUUUUGCCUGCAUUAGAUUACUCGGCGUUCUGAGCACAUCUGGAGUGAGGGCGGCCCCAGGGACCUUGAAGCGGGCUGUUUGGGUUGGCACAGUGACAUUUAGUGUAUGCCAAUUUGUAAUGGCUUUUGGAAACAGGCAGUUUUAAACUCUCCCUGAACUAUUCCCCCGAGAAAUUAUUCAAUUAAGUACAACUAAAAUUAAUGUUUAGCAUUUUUUGUUUAAGUAAAAUAGGCAGCUCUAGAGGGAAAUCUGCGGUUCAUGCCCGAGCUCUCACUUGAGUCUAAAAUCUUACUCCUAAGAAAUAACCGGGUGUCCUGGAAUCGGGGCAUUUUCCAGAAGAGACAGAGCUGCCAGCUCCUCCUGACCGCUUUCACGCUGAGCACACGUCUUUCUUGCUGCCUCGGCGGGUUCGGACACCUGGGUGCGAGUGCAGUUUGCACGCCUUCCAGCACCGGCUGGGGAGCCCCUGGGGACAACAGAGCCAGAAGGACUCCCUUCCCUCUCUGCUAAGUCUGUGCUUCUCAAACUGUAAUGAGCAUAAAUAUCCCCCAGACGUCUUGUUAAAAUGCAGAUUGUGAUUCAUUAGUUCCGGGGUGGGGCCCGAGAUUCACUCCCAUCGGAUAAGCUCCCUGGGGAUGCCGCUGCCCGUGGCUGAGGACCAUAUGGGAGAGCAGUGGGGUUCUAAACGGGCAUGGGAUGUGGGCGGGCGUGCAUGUUUGGGGCGGAGCCCCUGGGCUUCAGUGUGACUUCUGGUCUGUGGCUUGA